CCCUCGAGAAGUGCUGCCAUCUACUCUGCCAUCCACCCUGAUGAAGAAACCAUGGGGAAAUUAACAAGGGCAGCUGUGGCGCACACCCCUGUCACUUCUACACUCAGGAGCCUGAGGCAGGAAUGCAUGCAAGCAGGCCUGGUGGCUUAAAUGAGGAGCAGCAUUUGUGGUCAGGCUGACUCCACAUGGUGGAAAGGGAGCUGAUGCCUGCCAGCUGUUCUCUGACUUCCACAGGCACGGAACAAAGGAGCCACCACACUCUGUGGGAAAGCUGUGGCAUAACCCUGGUAGGUCAGAGUCUGCCGGAUGAAAUUCUGAGCUGGAGAGAUGGACAGUGGUUAAGAGCAUUGACUGCUCUUCUAGAGGACCUGGGUUCAAUUCCCAGCACCCAUAUGGCCGGUCACAACUGUCUGCAACUCCAGGAUCUAACACCCUCACAGAGAUGUACAUGCAGGCAAAACAUCAGUAAGUUCCAGGACAGCUAGAGGGGACCAAGAAGAGAUGUUAAGGACCUUUCAAUUCACCAUUCAUUCAAUUGAAAGUCUCCUCCCUCCAGGCUGCAGAGAGAACAACUAAAUAUUUACCCCUGACAAACAUCAUUGGGGUGGAUGACCCAAAUCGCCCCGGUGA
rnacentral:lncRNA from 1 species